CAAUCUCCUCUCCAGAUAGCACAGUCCUUAUCUGAUUGAGAAUUACAUGGUUAAUAAUCUCAAUAAAUCUGGAAGGUGCCAAGCAGUGAAAGGCAACAAUAUCAUCUCCAUGGAUCUGAAGAACUCUUGUUUAUUCACAGCCAACACAAAAAGAGAUUUCUCAGCCAUGACAUCAGUGAAAUAGAAUUAAUUACCAUCUGGGAUGCACUACAGCCAGUUCUACAGGCUUUGUGACUUUAUGUAUUUUUCUGUCAUCAGCUUCCUCAAUAUGAUCAAGGGGGAAAAACUACUACUGGACCGUAGUUCCCAUCCCUAAACAUUUGUGAGUUCUGAGGAAAGACAGAUGGAAAUGUUGAAAUCUUGUGGUUCUGGACUUGUCAUUGAGAAAACAUUAUAAAGUGCCCUUUUUCAUGAGUACUUUGAUAAACAGAUGAGAGAAACCUGCAUAUGAAGAUGUGACAUCUUUCAAAAA